UGGGGAAUAUUGCACAAUGGGCGCAAGCCUGAUGCAGCAACGCCGCGUGAGGGAUGACGGCCUUCGGGUUGUAAACCUCUUUUAGCAGGGAAGAAGCGAAAGUGACGGUACCUGCAGAAAAAGCACCGGCUAACUACGUGCCAGCAGCCGCGGUAAUACGUAGGGUGCAAGCGUUGUCCGGAAUUAUUGGGCGUAAAGAGCUCGUAGGCGGUCUGUCGCGUCUGCUGUGAAAUCCUGAGGCUCAACCUCGGGCCUGCAGUGGGUACGGGCAGACUAGAGUGCGGUAGGGGAGAAUGGAACUCCUGGUGUAGCGGUGGAAUGCGCAGAUAUCAGGAAGAACACCGAUGGCGAAGGCAGUUCUCUGGGCCGUAACUGACGCUGAGGAGCGAAAGCGUGGGGAGCGAACAGGAUUAGAUGCCCUGGUAGUCCACGCCGUAAACGUUGGGCGCUAGAUGUGGGGACCAUUCCACGGUUUCCGUGUCGCAGCUAACGCAUUAAGCGCCCCGCCUGGGGAGUACGGCCGCAAGGCUAAAACUCAAAGGAAUUGACGGGGUCAUAGCU
rnacentral:rRNA from 1 species